AUGCUGGCAUUGGACUAUUAUGUAUUUUCUUUACUGUUUCUAGUCAUUCUGACAGGUGUCAGCUGUCAAGAACUCACUCCAGUCAACAAUGAAGAGAACAGUUUAGAAGGCAGCACUGUUACUCUGUCCUACAACUACUCCAAACAAGCUGAUAGCAAUGAUUAUUUCUUCUGGUAUCGACAAUAUCCAGCAAAACCGCCAGAGUUCCUCAUUUCCCAUUUCGAGGGCCACAUUAUCAAGUAG